AGUGAACGCUGGCGGUAGGCCUAACACAUGCAAGUCGAACGGCAGCACAGUAAGAGCUUGCUCUUACGGGUGGCGAGUGGCGGACGGGUGAGGAAUACAUCGGAAUCUACUUUUUCGUGGGGGAUAACGUAGGGAAACUUACGCCAAUACCGCAUACGACCUACGGGUGAAAGCAGGGGAUCUUCUGACCUUGCGCGAUUGAAUGAGCCGAUGUCGGAUUAGCUAGUUGGCGGGGUAAAGGCCCACCAAGGCGACGAUCCGUAGCUGGUCUGAGAGGAUGAUCAGCCACACUGGAAGUGAGACACGGUCCAGACUCCUACGGGAGGCAGCAGUGGGGAAUAUUGGACAAAGGGCGGAAGCCUGAUCCAGCCAUACCGCGUGGGUGAAGAAGGCCUUCGGGUUGUAAAGCCCUUUUGUUGGGAAAGAAAAGCAGCAGGUUAAUACCCCGCUGUUCUGACGGUACCCAAAGAAUAAGCACCGGCUAACUUCGUG
rnacentral:rRNA from 1 species